rnacentral:rRNA from 1 species
UACGUAGGGGGCGAGCGUUGUCCGGAUUUAUUGGGCGUAAAGAGCUCGUAGGCGGUUUGGCAAGUCGGGUGUGAAAACUCCGGGCUCAACUCGGAGACGCCACUCGAUACUGCCAUGACUCGAGUCCGGUAGGGGAGUGCGGAAUUCCUGGUGUAGCGGUGAAAUGCGCAGAUAUCCGGAGGAACACCGGUGGCGAAGGCGGCUUCCUGGACCGACACUGACGCUGAGGCGCGAAAGCUAGGGGAGCAAACGGG